UGGGGAAUAUUGCACAAUGGGCGCAAGCCUGAUGCAGCCAUGCCGCGUGUGUGAAGAAGGCCUUAGGGUUGUAAAGCACUUCCAGCGAGGAGGAAAGGUGAUUAGUUAAUACCUGAUUACUGUGACGUUACUCGCAGAAGAAGCACCGGCUAACUCCGUGCCAGCAGCCGCGGUAAUACGGAGGGUGCGAGCGUUAAUCGGAAUUACUGGGCGUAAAGCGUGCGUAGGCGGCUACUUAAGUUGGAUGUGAAAGCCCCGGGCUUAACCUGGGAACUGCAUCCAAAACUGGGUGGCUAGAGUGCGAGAGAGGAGUGUGGAAUUUCCUGUGUAGCGGUGAAAUGCGUAGAUAUAGGAAGGAACACCAGUGGCGAAGGCGACACUCUGGCUUGACACUGACGCUGAGGUACGAAAGCGUGGGGAGCAAACAGGAUUAGAUACCCUGGUAGUCCACGCCGUAAACGAUGUCUACUAAUUGUCCGUUGUCUUGUACGAUGGGUAAUGCAGCUAACGCGAUAAGUAGACCGCCUGGGGAGUACGGCCGCAAGGUUA
rnacentral:rRNA from 1 species